CCAUCUACCUAAAAAAAUUAGCCACUUAUCCUAUUUCAUCGAUAUGUAUAGCAUAAUAAAAUGAAGGAUCUUCUAACUACCGACUCUUCAAAUAAUCUAAGAGAAUUUAUGCAUCUCCAACCUCAAGUUGUCUCGUCCUCUUUAUAUGUAAAUAAUAAGAGUAAUCAAUUCUUAUAAACUCGACAUGUUUGGCAUCUUGGGAUCC
rnacentral:lncRNA from 1 species